UCUUUAUAUGAUAUUUGGUCUUCCAACGAAUUUGUGUUGGCAGGUCGAGCUAGUCCUUGAAUGUAGGGUUGAUCUGGAAUGCUAUCUUAAAAUUUGUCCAAGUCUCACUUGAAUGAUGCAACCGGAUCAACAGGGCCUACGUAUUCCCUACGAAUAUUAUAUAAUUACUGGGGAGCGACUUAUCUCCCCCUUUAAAAAUUGGAACAACAUGAGGCAGCUAUAGUGAAGAUGGAAACUUGCCCUAAUCCAAGAUGCAACGCAUCAAGUACGAGAAAACAGGAGCAAGAACCAGUGAGCAUCUCAUCAGAAACUGAGAUGUCACACCAUCAGGGCCAGGAGAGCUCGAGGGUCUCAGUCAGGUCCCUGAUGGCCUCUGAAGCAUCUUGAUCUGGGACUACAAGAUCAUCUAAACGUUCAACUUGACUAACCUUGUCAAUCUCAACAGACUCAUCUUCAGAGCAAUGAUCUGUUGCUCCUGAACUCAGUGGAGUUGAAAACACACGGCGACCAUGACAUUCCUUACCUACAAUCCAUUCCGGUAGUAUCAAACGUCUUUUUCUUAAUCCAUUUUCUUGUGCUGCAUUGAGCAUCGAGUGUUGGAUUUCUGGCCAAUGCUUUUGAAGUAAUCCACCACGAACCUGUUGGAGGUUCAUCAGCGGAGGCCAUUCUGACUCCAUCAAAGAUCUCCAAAUAGAGUCGUGGAUGACUUUGGAGGACAGCAACUAUUGUGGAGAUAACGAAGUUCUCUUCGUGGGUUUGAGGUCCCAUUUGGAAUCUGUUCCAAUAUUGAUGCUCCCAACCAACAAAGAGAUUCCUACCUGCCGAUGAUGUUCCUUGUGGAAAAGUGGCUCCAAUGCAACAAUGAAGUUCCUUGUGGAAACGAGGCUCCUACCCGCCAAUGAUGUUCCUUGUGGAAAAGUUACUCCAACGCGACAUUGAUGUUCCUUGUGGAGAAAAGGCUGCUACCCACCGAUGAAUUUCCUUGUGGAAAUGAGGCUUUCCACUCAUCUCUUCCCUCUGGUGGUCAACUGUUCGGUUCAAACUAUUUGAUGGUGUGCACCACAAGAUAGUAGGCGAGGAUCCCCAUCAAAUCGCCCUCUUCAGGCUCUUCGAUAUCCUUUGAUGGACUUCGAACACCUGGAUUGGACUAUUCCUUCCCAAGCAGCCAGGUUGGCUUGUCCAAUUGCACGGAACAAAGACUUAUCGGGUAACAAUCAGCGUUGUUUCUUCACCUCUAGAGGACGAACUUGGCGCUGACAACCCACUUUGGCUCCUUUAAAUUGAUUAGAGAUCUUCAUCUCUAUUUGACAUGAUAGUUAUAUCUAACCAAUGUCAUAAUUGUGAAUCGCAUACUGUAUUGAUAGAAUAAUUGACGAAUGUGGAUAUUAUUGUCUUCCUAUUGUAGAUGAAUAAAUGCCGUUACGAAAGAUUCA